AUACGGAGGGUGCAAGCGUUAUCCGGAAUUACUGGGUUUAAAGGUUGCGUAGGCGGUUUAAUAAGUCAGAAGGGAAAAGUCCGGGCUCAACCGGGGCCUUGCUUUUGAUACUGUUAGACUUGAAUUAGGCUGAGGUUAGCGGAAUGUGACAUGUAGCGGUGAAAUGCAUAGAUAUGUCAUAGAACACCAAUUGCGAAGGCAGCUAACUAGACCUUAAUUGACGCUGAGGCACGAAAGCGUGGGGAGCGAACAGGAUUAGAAACCCUAGUAGUCC
rnacentral:rRNA from 1 species